GGACCCAGCGGCCCUUCCCGGGACAGGCCCCUCCUCCAGCCGCCUCCCAGGGCUCAGGAAUGGUGCACCCGGAAGCUCACCCGACCUGCCCCGCCUGAAGUAGGGUGCCAGGGCGCCGCGUGCCCGCCAGUCAGUCCUGGCCAGUGCCCAGGGGUGCCUCCCACCGUCGCCAGGGCCCGGCC